rnacentral:misc_RNA from 1 species
AACGCACAUUGCGCCUCUUGGUUUUCCUCGAGGCAUACCUGUUCGAGCGCCGUUAAAAUUCCUAAGGCCUCGCCUUGCGUUGGCGGAGCCCCCUCGUCAACCAGAGAGGGGGCCCUCCCAAACUCGUGGGCGCCGCCACGGCCCUGAAUCGCAGCGAAAAUGCGAAGGAAGGGGACGGAUGGCGACAGCCAGUUCACACCGAUCGCAUGGCCUCGGAUCAGGUAGGAAUACCCGCUGAACUUAA